AAGAUUGCCCCUCAGCAAAGAAGGGGUGAGCCAGUGCCCCAGGAACUCUUGGAUAGGGUCCUGGCUGCUCAUUCAUACUGGUCUCAACAUCAGGCUAAGCAACAUGGCAAGAAUCAGGCUGCAGUUCUAAAGAUAACAGAGACACACGGUGGUAGAAAUGGAGUUGAAGGUGAAAUUCGCUUGUUCUGACGUAAAAAAGCAAGAAAAUUGUUGACCGGAACAGGGAAGAAGAAACUUGUACAAAUGA
rnacentral:misc_RNA from 1 species